rnacentral:rRNA from 1 species
UACGUAGGGCGCAAGCGUUGUCCGGAAUUAUUGGGCGUAAAGGGCUCGUAGGCGGUUUGUCGCGUCGGGAGUGAAAAUCCAGGGCUUAACUCUGGACUGGCUUUCGAUACGGGCAGACUAGAGGUAUGCAGGGGAGAACGGAAUUCCUGGUGUAGCGGUGAAAUGCGUAGAUAUCAGGAGGAAUACCGAUGGCGAAGGCAGGUCUCUGGGCUGACACUGACGCUCAUGCACGAAAGCGUGGGGAGCAAACAGG